rnacentral:tRNA from 1 species
CCCCGCGUAGUUCAAUGGAUUAGAACGGACCCGUCCUAAGGGCCUGAUCUCAGUUCGAUUCUGGGCGCGGGGA